CUACGGGACGCAGCAGUGGGGAAUAUUGGACAAUGGACCAAAAGUCUGAUCCAGCAAUUCUGUGUGCACGAUGAAGGUCUUCGGAUUGUAAAGUGCUUUCAGUUGGGAAGAAGCAAGUGACGGUACCAACAGAAGAAGCGACGGCUAAAUACGUGCCAGCAGCCGCGGUAAUACGUAUGUCGCAAGCGUUAUCCGGAUUUAUUGGGCGUAAAGCGCGUCUAGGCGGAAAAAUAAGUCUGAUGUUAAAAUGCGGGGCUCAACUCCGUAUUGCGUUGGAAACUGUUUUUCUAGAGUACUGGAGAGGUGGGCGGAACUACAAGUGUAGAGGUGAAAUUCGUAGAUAUUUGUAGGAAUGCCGAUGGAGAAGUCAGCUCACUGGACAGAUACUGACGCUAAAGCGCGAAAGCGUGGGGAGCAAACAGGAUUAGAUACCCCCGUAGUC
rnacentral:rRNA from 1 species